AGCGGCGGACGGGUGAGUAACGCGUGGGUAACCUGCCUCAUACAGGGGGAUAACAGUUAGAAAUGACUGCUAAUACCGCAUAAGACCACAGCACCGCAUGGUGCGGGGGUAAAAACUCCGGUGGUAUGAGAUGGACCCGCGUCUGAUUAGGUAGUUGGUGAGGUAACGGCCCACCAAGCCGACGAUCAGUAGCCGACCUGAGAGGGUGACCGGCCACAUUGGGACUGAGACACGGCCCAA
rnacentral:rRNA from 1 species